rnacentral:lncRNA from 1 species
AUCAGAGAUCUGUUGCGAGGUUGCCCGAGGGAAGAUAGGUACGUCACGGGGGUGGCAGGGCCCUCAACGGGCAGGGGCGUGGCCAGAGGAGGGCGAAGUCGGGACGUUAAGGGCCGCAGAGCGCGUGCGCAGGAACGUGGAAAGUUCCAGGACACGGAACCGUUGGGACGGAGGACCUGAAGGUGGAGUGAGGUAUCACGGGGUUUGGUGAUGACGUAGUCGGUCGAGGCCGGAAGCGUGGGCCACAGGGCUUUGAGCGGAAGCUGUCGACCUUGCACGGUGAUGGCGCUCCUCGUGACCCCUUGUAUCCCCUCAGGCUCGAGCCAGGAGCCUAGGUCCACUUUGAAAAUGGACUCACCCUGAAUUCUUUCUUGCACGAGAUCCAAGAAUUCUCCCUUGGGAUCUGGAUUGGACCCCUUUCCUG